UGGCAUAUCUCAAAUUUUGCAAAAUUAUAAUGGCAUGGUUCCAAUUUUCCUUUUUUUUUU
rnacentral:sRNA from 1 species